rnacentral:rRNA from 1 species
GAUGAACGCUAGCUACAGGCUUAACACAUGCAAGUCGAGGGGAAACGAUGAGAGAGCUUGCUCUCUCAGGCGUCGACCGGCGCACGGGUGAGUAACACGUAUCCAACCUGCCUUUUUCCAGGGAAUAACCUUGCGAAAGUAAGACUAAUGCCCUAUGUGUCCUCCGACGGCAUCAGACGAGGACGAAAGAUUUAUCGGUAAGGGAUGGCGAUGCGUAGGAUUAGGUAGUCGGCGGGGUAACGGCCCACCGAGCCUACGAUCCUUAGGGGUUCUGAGAGGAAGGUCCCCCACAUUGGAACUGAGACACGGUCCAAACUCC